rnacentral:tRNA from 2 species
GCGGGCGUGGCGAAACGGUAGACGCAGCGGAUUCAAAAUCCGCCGUAGCAAUACGUGUCGGUUCGAGUCCGACCGCCCGCACCA